rnacentral:misc_RNA from 1 species
GAAAUGCGAUAAGUAGUGUGAAUUGCAGAAUUCAGUGAAUCAUCGAAUCUUUGAACGCACCUUGCGCUCCUUGGUAUUCCUUGGAGCAUGCCUGUUUGAGUAUCAUGAAAUCUUCAAAGUAAAUCUUUUGUUAACUCAAUUGGUUUCUACUUUGGUAUUGGAGGUCUUUGCAGCUUCACACCUGCUACUCUUUGUUCAUUAGCUGGAUCUCAGUGUUAUGCUUGGUUCCACUCGGCGUGAUAAGUUAUCUAUCGCUGAGGACACUGUAAAAGGUGGCCAAGGUAAAUGCAGAUGAACCGCUUCUAAUAGUCCAUUGACUUGGACAAUACUUUUAUGAUCUGAUCUCAAAUCAGGUAGGACUACCCGCUGAACUUAAGC